rnacentral:rRNA from 1 species
GAUGAACGCUGGCGGCGUGCCUAAUACAUGCCAGUCGAGCGAACAGAUGAGGAGCUUGCUCCUCUGACGUUAGCGGCGGACGGGUGAGUAACACGUGGAUAACCUACCUAUAAGACUGGGAUAACUUCGGGAAACCGGAGCUAAUACCGGAUAAUAUAUUGAACCGCAUGGUUCAAUAGUGAAAGACGGUUUUGCUGUCACUUAUAGAUGGAUCCGCGCCGCAUUAGCUAGUUGGUAAGGUAACGGCUUACCAAGGCAACGAUGCGUAGCCGACCUGAGAGGGUGAUCAGCCACACUGGAACUGAGACGCGGUCCAGACUCCUACGGGAGGCAGCAGUAGGGAAUCUUCCGCAAUGGGCGAAAGCCUGACGGAGCAACGCCGCGUGAGUGAUGAAGGUCUUCGGAUCGUAAAACUCUGUUAUUAGGGAAGAACAAAAGUGUGAGUAAAUAUGCACGUCUUGACGGUACCUAAACAAAAAGCCCCGGCUAACUUCGUG